rnacentral:rRNA from 1 species
UGCCAGCCGCCGCGGUAACACGGGGGGCGCAAGCGUUAUUCGGAAUUAUUGGGCGUAAAGGGCGCGCAGGCGGUCUUGUCCGUCAGGUGUGAAAGCUCGGGGCUCAACCCCGGAAGUGCACUUGAUACUGCAAGACUUGAGGACGGAAGAGGAAAGUGGAAUUCCUAGUGUAGAGGUGAAAUUCGUAGAUAUUAGGAGGAACACCAGAGGCGAAGGCGGCUUUCUGGUCCGUUACUGACGCUGAGGUACGAAAGUGUGGGGAGCAAACAGGAUUAGAUA